UCUGAUCAUUCCGUGUCAAUCCACUAUUAUGGCACGGCGUGUUAAAAGGGAGGAAGGGUCAGACCGCAGGACUUGCGGUGCGGUAUUGUGGAGACAUACCGCAAGGUUUCCAUCAAGCCUGAUGGUUACAAGGCGGCUUCUUGCAAAGAUUCAGCCGUCAUAGUCGAAUGUUAUGGCA
rnacentral:ncRNA from 1 species